rnacentral:tRNA from 1 species
AGAAAGAAUACUGGAACUGCUAAUCCCAUUUUCCACAAUUAACAAUGUGGCUUUCUU